UACGUAGGGUGCAAGCGUUGUCCGGAAUUAUUGGGCGUAAAGAGCUCGUAGGCGGUGUGUCACGUCGGCCGUGAAAACCUGGGGCUUAACUCUGGGCGUGCGGUCGAUACGGGCAUCACUAGAGUUCGGCAGGGGAGACUGGAAUUCCUGGUGUAGCGGUGAAAUGCGUAGAUAUCAAGAGGAACACCUGAGGUGAAGACGGGUUGCUGGGCUGACACUGACGCUGAGGCGCGAAAGCCAGGGGAGCAAACGGG
rnacentral:rRNA from 1 species